GGGUUGUGAGGUUAAGCGACUAAGCGUACACGGUGGAUGCCCUGGCAGUCAGAGGCGAUGAAGGGCGUGCUAAUCUGCGAUAAGCGCCGGUAAGGUGAUAUGAACCGUUAUAACCGGCGAUACCCGAAUGGGGAAACCCAGUGUGACUCGUCACACUAUCAUUAACUGAAUCCAUAGGUUAAUGAGGCGAACCGGGGGAACUGAAACAUCUAAGUACCCCGAGGAAAAGAAAUCAACCGAGAUUCCCCCAGUAGCGGCGAGCGAACGGGGAGGAGCCCAGAGCCUGAAUCAGCAUGUGUGUUAGUGGAAGCGUCUGGAAAGGCGCGCGAUACAGGGUGACAGCCCCGUACACAAAAGCGCAUGUGCUGUGAGCUCGAUGAGUAGGGCGGGACACGUGGUAUCCUGUCUGAAUAUGGGGGGACCAUCCUCCAAGGCUAAAUACUCCUGACUGACCGAUAGUGAACCAGUACCGUGAGGGAAAGGCGAAAAGAACCCCGGCGAGGGGAGUGAAAAAGAACCUGAAACCGUGUACGUACAAGCAGUGGGAGCACCCUUUUGGGUGUGACUGCGUACCUUUUGUAUAAUGGGUCAGCGACUUAUAUUCUGUAGCAAGGUUAACCGAAUAGGGGAGCCGGAGGGAAACCGAGUCUUAAUUGGGCGUUAAGUUGCAGGGUAUAGACCCGAAACCCGGUGAUCUAGCCAUGGGCAGGUUGAAGGUUGGGUAACACUAACUGGAGGACCGAACCGACUAAUGUUGAAAAAUUAGCGGAUGACCUGUGGCUGGGGGUGAAAGGCCAAUCAAACCGGGAGAUAGCUGGUUCUCCCCGAAAGCUAUUUAGGUAGCGCCUCGUGAAUUCAUCUCCGGGGGUAGAGCACUGUUUCGGCUAGGGGGCCAUCCCGGCUUACCAACCCGAUGCAAACUGCGAAUACCGGAGAAUGUUAUCACGGGAGACACACGGCGGGUGCUAACGUCCGUCGUGAAGAGGGAAACAACCCAGACCGCCAGCUAAGGUCCCAAAGUCAUGGUUAAGUGGGAAACGAUGUGGGAAGGCCCAGACAGCCAGGAUGUUGGCUUAGAAGCAGCCAUCAUUUAAAGAAAGCGUAAUAGCUCACUGGUCGAGUCGGCCUGCGCGGAAGAUGUAACGGGGCUAAACCAUGCACCGAAGCUGCGGCAGCGACACUCAGGUGUUGUUGGGUAGGGGAGCGUUCUGUAAGCCUGCGAAGGUGGCCUGUGAGGGUUGCUGGAGGUAUCAGAAGUGCGAAUGCUGACAUAAGUAACGAUAAAGCGGGUGAAAAGCCCGCUCGCCGGAAGACCAAGGGUUCCUGUCCAACGUUAAUCGGGGCAGGGUGAGUCGACCCCUAAGGCGAGGCCGAAAGGCGUAGUCGAUGGGAAACGGGUUAAUAUUCCCGUACUUGGUGUUACUGCGAAGGGGGGACGGAGAAGGCUAUGUUGGCCGGGCGACGGUUGUCCCGGUUUAAGCGUGUAGGCUGGUUUUCCAGGCAAAUCCGGAAAAUCAAGGCUGAGGCGUGAUGACGAGGCACUACGGUGCUGAAGCAACAAAUGCCCUGCUUCCAGGAAAAGCCUCUAAGCAUCAGGUAACACGAAAUCGUACCCCAAACCGACACAGGUGGUCAGGUAGAGAAUACCAAGGCGCUUGAGAGAACUCGGGUGAAGGAACUAGGCAAAAUGGUGCCGUAACUUCGGGAGAAGGCACGCUGACAUGUAGGUGAAGUGAUUUACUCAUGGAGCUGAAGUCAGUCGAAGAUACCAGCUGGCUGCAACUGUUUAUUAAAAACACAGCACUGUGCAAACACGAAAGUGGACGUAUACGGUGUGACGCCUGCCCGGUGCCGGAAGGUUAAUUGAUGGGGUCAGCGCAAGCGAAGCUCCUGAUCGAAGCCCCGGUAAACGGCGGCCGUAACUAUAACGGUCCUAAGGUAGCGAAAUUCCUUGUCGGGUAAGUUCCGACCUGCACGAAUGGCGUAAUGAUGGCCAGGCUGUCUCCACCCGAGACUCAGUGAAAUUGAACUCGCUGUGAAGAUGCAGUGUACCCGCGGCAAGACGGAAAGACCCCGUGAACCUUUACUAUAGCUUGACACUGAACAUUGAGCCUUGAUGUGUAGGAUAGGUGGGAGGCUUUGAAGUGUGGACGCCAGUCUGCAUGGAGCCGGCCUUGAAAUACCACCCUUUAAUGUUUGAUGUUCUAACGUGGACCCGUAAUCCGGGUUGCGGACAGUGUCUGGUGGGUAGUUUGACUGGGGCGGUCUCCUCCUAAAGAGUAACGGAGGAGCACGAAGGUUGGCUAAUCCUGGUCGGACAUCAGGAGGUUAGUGCAAUGGCAUAAGCCAGCUUGACUGCGAGCGUGACGGCGCGAGCAGGUGCGAAAGCAGGUCAUAGUGAUCCGGUGGUUCUGAAUGGAAGGGCCAUCGCUCAACGGAUAAAAGGUACUCCGGGGAUAACAGGCUGAUACCGCCCAAGAGUUCAUAUCGACGGCGGUGUUUGGCACCUCGAUGUCGGCUCAUCACAUCCUGGGGCUGAAGUAGGUCCCAAGGGUAUGGCUGUUCGCCAUUUAAAGUGGUACGCGAGCUGGGUUUAGAACGUCGUGAGACAGUUCGGUCCCUAUCUGCCGUGGGCGCUGGAGAACUGAGGGGGGCUGCUCCUAGUACGAGAGGACCGGAGUGGACGCAUCACUGGUGUUCGGGUUGUCAUGCCAAUGGCACUGCCCGGUAGCUAAAUGCGGAAGAGAUAAGUGCUGAAAGCAUCUAAGCACGAAACUUGCCCCGAGAUGAGUUCUCCCUGAGACUUAGAGUCUCCUGAAGGAACGUUGAAGACGACGACGUUGAUAGGCCGGGUGUGUAAGCGCAGCGAUGCGUUGAGCUAACCGGUACUAAUGAACCGUGAGGCUUAACCUUACAACGCCGAAG
rnacentral:rRNA from 1 species